CGAGCGCGCAGCCUGCUCCACCGCCGCCUCUCGGUCCCGCCGCCGCCGCUGCCGCCGCCGCCGCCGGGCAGCUGGACGCCCUAUAGGGCUCUUGGCAGUCCACGAAAGACCUGGAGUCCGCCUCCCCAUUUCUCCGGUCGGUGAGUGGCAGGAGGAAAUCGCCAAUCAUGUUUUCCCGCUUUGCCUCCCCAACUCGGAAACUUGCAACUUGCCGUGUCCUGGAGGCUGGGACAAUUUGGGGUCUCUUGGCUGCUGUCCAACAGAUUUAUCUCUGAGGGCAGUCUCCUCGGUGGGAGGUCCAAGUAGGAGUGGGCGACAUUUACCUCCAUCUCAUGAGGGAGCAGCCCUGCACACUAGGGCCCAAAACUCUGCAAAGGAGCUUGGAAGUUCUUCAUCCGUUCCACUUGUUUUGCUACUCCACACACCCUUCUAGGACAUGUUGAUUGCCAACUGCUUUGCGCAACUUUCCCAUAGCUGUCUGUUCCCGUGCAUUUCGGAGCACCAGGCAAAUACAAGCAGAGAGACCUGGAAAAAAAAUUAUGAAGACAGUAUUAAUCAUAAAAUUAACAUGGCUGAGUGAAUUGUCAAUGCAAGUUCCUUUACUAACUCUUUGUUAAGUUUUGCUUUGUACUCUUUACAUCCUCUUUCUCUUAAGCCAUUGUUUUAAUUUCUUCUCGUUGUCAUUUUUAAAAGUAACAGAAAUACAGUUUUCUUCCUACCUUAACGAUUGACAUGGUGGAGGUUGGGUUGCAAAGAGGAAGUAGUAAGAAAAAAUAAUUAUUCUAUACAUUCACAAGUCCUUCAAGGCACAAAAUAAAAGUAAGAAAUAGAAAAUAUGUCCUUUCUCUUAAUAAAGGUCUUUAUAAUAAAAUUUAAAUGAAAUUUUGUGUUUCAUAACAGCUUUCCAAAUACUGUUGUAGAUACUAAAAUGUGCCUGUAUGUAUUUCCUUCCACAAUAAUAAUAGUAAUAAUAAACUUUUUAGGUCCAAAUUAAACAUUUCUCAGCUUAAAUUUCUAUCCUCAAUCCAACAUUUAUUAUAUCAAAACUUGAUUUUUAAAAAUAAAACUUUCUUGGAAUUC
rnacentral:antisense_RNA from 1 species